CUUUAUUGUAAAAAUCUUUACAAAUUUUUAUUGCAUCUUAUUGCAACACCUGUAUUAAACAAACUGAUGCAGCAACUUCAUGUGAUGCUGAUGUAAUAUAAUAUUAUACAUGCUAUAUAGCAUUUAAUGAUUACAAUGAGCUCAUUAAGAGACAAUAGAUGAAUUGUUUUGAAUCUAUUCUUGUAUAUUAUUGUACUUGCUUUGUCGUCAGAAGCUAACAGCAGCCUUUUCAUACCUGCUGCAGGUGAAUGACCUCUAAUACUGUUUAUUUUACUUUAUUACAUAUAGAAACACGAAGAACUAGACACAUGAAAAAGCUUUUACAGGAGCGGCGUGUUUACACUGGGAUUUACAGGCUCUACAGGUAAACUGGGUCUUUUGUUGAUCUUAAUGUUGACACUCUUAACGGAUGGGACAGUGAGGACAGGUAUAGAUCAGCUGAUCUUCAGUAUAAAAGAUGAGCAGGGCUGGAGAUCAGUGAGAACUCUGUAGAAGAACUGGGUUGUUUAUUAAAGCUCAGUUAAAACUCUAUUAUUCCACUGUUUUAUAUUUUUUAACUGGAUCGUAUUUAAUUUAAAGUUUAUUUAUUGUUAAUUCUUUAGUGUUUUGGUUUAAACCAAAUUUAUUGUAAUUUAUUUUAUUUUAAAAAGCUGCCUAUUUUAGUGUGUUUUUUUAUUUCUACAGAAGAUCAGGACGAUGUCCACGCAAAGGAUUAUCAAAUAUUUCAAUAUUUUAUAUUCCUUAAUUGUGCUGAUGGGAUCGUCUGCAGCUUGUGAAUCUCGGCGUUGUCUGGCUGAAGAGUUUAUUAAGAGGAAACUGUACAGUUCUCCUCAGCCUCCGGAGUGUGUGGUUAACGUGAAUCUCACAUCCAUCCAGUAUCAGACUCUCUCUGUCGAGUGGAACGACCCAGAUCUUGCCUGGUCAGACUCACAGUACACGUUUGAUGAAAUCAUGCUGCCAUUUAAUAAGAUCUGGACUCCUGACCUCAGCGUGGACAAUGCGUAAGUCAUUUCUGCUCGAUAUUUUGUGAAUUAUGUUGGCUUUAGUUUA
rnacentral:lncRNA from 1 species